GUGGGGAAUAUUGGACAAUGGGCGAAAGCCUGAUCCAGCCAUGCCGCGUGUGUGAAGAAGGUCUUCGGAUUGUAAAGCACUUUAAGUUGGGAGGAAGGGCAGUAAGUUAAUACCUUGCUGUUUUGACGUUACCGACAGAAUAAGCACCGGCUAACUUCGUGCCAGCAGCCGCGGUAAUACGAAGGGUGCAAGCGUUAAUCGGAAUUACUGGGCGUAAAGCGCGCGUAGGUGGUUUUGUAAGUUGGAGGUGAAAUCCCCGGGCUCAACCUGGGAACAGCCUCCAAAACUGCAUGACUAGAGUACGGUAGAGGGUAGUGGAAUUUCCUGUGUAGCGGUGAAAUGCGUAGAUAUAGGAAGGAACACCAGUGGCGAAGGCGACUACCUGGACUGAUACUGACACUGAGGUGCGAAAGCGUGGGGAGCAAACAGGAUUAGAAACCCGAGUAGUCC
rnacentral:rRNA from 1 species